UACAGAGGGUGCGAGCGUUGUCCGGAAUCACUGGGCGUAAAGGGCGCGUAGGCGGCUUUCCAAGCGUGCGGUGAAAGCUCGGGGCUUAACUCCGAGUCUGCCGUGCGAACUGGGAGGCUUGAGUCUGGUAGAGGUCGAUGGAAUUCCGGGUGUAGCGGUGGAAUGCGUAGAGAUCCGGAAGAACACCGGUGGCGAAGGCGGUCGACUGGGCCAGAACUGACGCUGAGGCGCGACAGCGUGGGGAGCAAACAGG
rnacentral:rRNA from 1 species